GACGAACGCUGGCGGCGUGCUUAACACGUGCAAGUCGAACGGAAAGGCCCUGCUUUUGUGGGGUGCUCGAGUGGCGAACGGGUGAGUAACACGUGAGUAACCUGCCCUUGACUUUGGGAUAACUUCAGGGAACUGGGGCUAAUACCGGAUAGGAGCUCCUGCUGCAUGGUGGGGGUUGGAAAGUUUCGGCGGUUGGGGAUGGACUCGCGGCUUAUCAGCUUGUUGGUGGGGUAGUGGCUUACCAAGGCUUUGACGGGUAGCCGGCCUGAGAGGGUGACCGGCCACAUUGGGACUGAGAUACGGCCCAGACUCCUACGGGAGGCAGCAGUGGGGAAUAUUGCACAAUGGGCGGAAGCCUGAUGCAGCAACGCCGCGUGCGGGAUGACGGCCUUCGGGUUGUAAACCGCUUUCGCCUGUGACGAAGCGUGAGUGACGGUAAUGGGUAAAGAAGCACCGGCUAACUACGUG
rnacentral:rRNA from 1 species